CACGUAGGGGCCAAGCGUUGUCCGGAUUUAUUGGGCGUAAAGAGCUCGUAGGUGGUUCGGUAAGUCAGGUGUGAAACCUCCAGGCUCAACCUGGAGACGCCACUUGAUACUGCUGUGACUGGAGUCCGGUAGGGGAGCGUGGAAUUCCUGGUGUAGCGGUGAAAUGCGCAGAUAUCAGGAGGAACACCAGCGGCGAAGGCGGCGCUCUGGGCCGGUACUGACACUGAGGAGCGAAAGCGUGGGUAGCAAACAGG
rnacentral:rRNA from 1 species